UCGCACGAGAACGCCCGGGCCUAGCCUGGGCAAGUACAGUGGCGGACGGGUGCGUAACGCGUAGAUAACCUGCCCUCAGGCGCGGGACAAUCGCGGGAAACCGCGGCUAAUACCGCACGACGUCCGGAUCCCGCAUGGGAGCCGGAUGAAACCUUGGGUUUGCCCAGGGGCCUUUGGAUGGGUCUGCGUCGGAUUAGCUUGUUGGUGAGGUAACGGCUCACCAAGGUAGCGAUCCGUAGCUGGUCUGAGAGGACGAUCAGUCACACUGGGACUGAGACACGGCCCAGACUCCUACGGGAGGCAGCAGUGGGGAAUCUUGCACAAUGGGGUCACCCCUGAUGCAGCCAUGCCGCGUGGAGGAAGACACCCCUAUGGGGCGUAAACUCCUUUUCUGAGAGAAGAAGCCCCUGUAGGUUCAGGGCGUGACGGUAUCUCAGGAAUAAGCACCGGCUAACUCCGUGCCAGCAGCCGCGGUAAUACGGAGGGUGCAAGCGUUGUCCGGAAUCACUGGGCGUAAAGGGUGCGCAGGCGGGGCAGCAAGUCGGAGGUGAAAGCCCGUGGCUCAACCACGGAAGUGCCUUCGAAACUGUUGCUCUUGAGUCCCGGAGAGGUUGCCGGAAUUCGUGGUGUAGCGGUGAAAUGCGUAGAUAUCACGAGGAACACCAGAGGCGAAAGCGGGCAACUGGACGGGUACUGACGCUCAGGCACGAAAGCGCGGGGAGCAAACAGGAUUAGAUACCC
rnacentral:rRNA from 1 species